GACGAACGCUGGCGGCGUGCCUAAUACAUGCAAGUUGAGCGCUGAAGGUUGGUACUUGUACCAACUGGAUGAGCAGCGAACGGGUGAGUAACGCGUGGGGAAUCUGCCUUUGAGCGGGGGACAACAUUUGGAAACGAAUGCUAAUACCGCAUAAAAACUUUAAACACAAGUUUUAAGUUUGAAAGAUGCAAUUGCAUCACUCAAAGAUGAUCCCGCGUUGUAUUAGCUAGUUGGUGAGGUAAAGGCUCACCAAGGCGAUGAUACAUAGCCGACCUGAGAGGGUGAUCGGCCACAUUGGGACUGAGACACGGCCCAAACUGCUACGGGAGGCAGCAGUAGGGAAUCUUCGGCAAUGGACGAAAGUCUGACCGAGCAACGCCGCGGGAGUGAAGAAGGUUGUCGGAUCGUAAAACUCUGUUGGUAGAGAAGAACGUUGGUGAGAGUGGAAAGCUCAUCAAGUGACGGUAACUACCCAGAAAGGGACGGCUAACUACGUG
rnacentral:rRNA from 1 species